ACCGCAUGGUGCAGGGGUAAAAACUCCGGUGGUACAGGAUGGACCCGCGUCUGAUUAGCUGGUUGGUGAGGUAACGGCUCACCAAGGCGACGAUCAGUAGCCGGCUUGAGAGAGUGAACGGCCACAUUGGGACUGAGACACGGCCCAAACUCCUACGGGAGGCAGCAGUGGGGAAUAUUGCACAAUGGGGGAAACCCUGAUGCAGCGACGCCGCGUGAGUGAAGAAGUAUCUCGGUAUGUAAAGCUCUAUCAGCAGGGAAGAAAAUGACGGUACCUGACUAAGAAGCCCCGGCUAACUACGUGCCAGCAGCCGCGGUAAUACGUAGGGGGCAAGCGUUAUCCGGAAUUACUGGGUGUAAAGGGUGCGUAGGUGGUAUGGCAAGUCAGAAGUGAAAACCCAGGGCUUAACUCUGGGACUGCUUUUGAAACUGUCAGACUAGAGUGCAGGAGAGGUAAGCGGAAUUCCUAGUGUAGCGGUGAAAUGCGUAGAUAUUAGGAGGAACAUCAGUGGCGAAGGCGGCUUACUGGACUGAAACUGACACUGAGGCACGAAAGCGUGGGGAGCAAACAGGAUUAGAUACCCUGGUAGUCCACGCCGUA
rnacentral:rRNA from 1 species